GCGGGUAAUCUGCGGAGCGAGGUGAGUGCGAGGGUGUAGCCUUUGGGCUUCGAUGCCUUCCAGGCCCCUCUGAUGGGGCGCAAUCCUCGCGUACACUCUACCCUGCACCCUUCUCUCGGAGUCAGCUUGGGGAGAGCCUGAAGCAGUGCCCAGACCACUUGGCAGGUAUCAGACUCAGGUCAGAAGGUUUGGUGGCAAAUGUACUGUCCCAUCCUGUCCUUCCACGUGCUCCCACAACUCCCAGACAAGGGGUUCUUUGGAUCCACCUCCUCUCUGCCUCAGCCUUUCAGAUUAUUCUGACCAGGAUGUUCAGAGAAACAACAGCCUUGGCCUGUCAUGCUUCAAAAGGACAAAAUAGGCUCAACUUUGUGAAAGUUGAAGAAGAAAAUGGUGUUUGGAAGCAGGACUUAAGUCUUCAGGGAAACCUCCAGAGCCAGGAGGUUUUCCGUCAGCAGUUUAGACAGUUUGGUUACUCUGAUUUCACUGGGCCCCGGGAGGCUCUGAACCGACUGCAGAAGCUUUGCCAGCAGUGGCUGAGGCCAGAGGAGCACUCUAAGGAGCAGAUCCUAGAAUUGCUGGUGCUAGAGCAGUUCAUGACCAUCUUGCCUAUGGAGCUGAAGGCCUGGGUGCAAGAACACAGGCCCAGAAGUGGAGAGGAGGCUGUGACUCUGCUGGAGGAGCUAGAGAGAGAAUUUGAUGAACCCAAGCACCAGGGUUUUUCUCUUAGCUGCACUCAGUCACACUACUGGUACUUGUUACUCUAGGACACAGCUCAUGGUCAAGAAAUGAUCUGCAAAGAAACGACACUCAUGGGAACAUCAGAGUCUCUAAGUAGUCCACUGCAGUCCUUGGAGAGCCAUUGCAAGAGUGAACCCCAGGAUCCCCAGAUUUUCCAUGAGAGAGAUGAGGCAACCCUACCAUUUAGGGUUGAUGAUGAAGUGCAACUACAGCUCUGCUUCCAAAAAGACAGGCAGGUAACUUGGAAGAAAGACCUUAAAAUUUGAAGUUAGCUGUCUUGACUAUCAACUAGUAAUCCUAUAGCUUCCUAGAACCCUUGAAAGCUUUAGUUUCCUGGUUUGUAAAAUGUAUAUUUUUAGAGGAUUUUUGACGGAAUAAAAACCCUUAAAAGAACUCAAUUUAUAUCAACUGUAUUUAGUAGUUCUUGUUUUGAGAUACUGGAAAAUUUGAAAUAAAAGGACAUGCUAUAAGAUAGCUGGAUUUGACUAGGCCCUUAGGCAACUGUUUACAUCUUCUUUUUUUCUUUUUUUGCCAUUUAUACUUAUGGGAUGAAUUAUUAAUAUUCUUACUUGACUUAAAAUGAGUAAGGAACUCAGAGUAUUUCUUUUUAAAUGUUUUUUCUUUCUCUACUUACAUUUAUAUUUGCUUAUAUUUAUUUAUAUAUUGCUUAUGUUUAUAUAAAAAUAAUAUAUAAUACAUUAAAAUAUAAAAAUAUUAUAU
rnacentral:lncRNA from 1 species